UAGAGUUUGAUCCUGGCUCACCUUGAACGCUGGCGGCAUGCCUAACACAUGCAAGUCGAACGGCAGCACAGUAGAGCUUGCUCUAUGGGUGGCGAGUGGNNNNCGGGUGAGUAAUGCAUCGGGAUCUACCCAAACGUGGGGGAUAACGUAGGGAAACUUACGCUAAUACCGCAUACGUCCUAUGGGAGAAAGCGGGGGAUCGAAAGACCUCGCGCGGUUGGACGAACCGAUGUGCGAUUAGCUAGUUGGUAGGGUAAUGGCCUACCAAGGCGACGAUCGCUAGCUGGUCUGAGAGGAUGAUCAGCCACACUGGAACUGAGACACGGUCCAGACUCCUACGGGAGGCAGCAGUGGGGAAUAUUGGACAAUGGGCGCAAGCCUGAUCCAGCAAUGCCGCGUGUGUGAAGAAGGCCUUCGGGUUGUAAAGCACUUUUAUCAGGAGCGAAAUACUACCAGCUAAUAUCCGGUGGGGCUGACGGUACCUGAGGAAUAAGCACCGGCUAACUUCGUGCCAGCAGCCGCGGUAAUACGAAGGGUGCAAGCGUUAAUCGGAAUUACUGGGCGUAAAGCGUGCGUAGGCGGUGAUUUAAGUCUGCUGUGAAAUCCCCGGGCUCAACCUGGGAAUGGCAGUGGAUACUGGAUCGCUAGAGUGUGAUAGAGGAUGGUGGAAUUCCCGGUGUAGCGGUGAAAUGCGUAGAGAUCGGGAGGAACAUCAGUGGCGAAGGCGGCCAUCUGGAUCAACACUGACGCUGAGGCACGAAAGCGUGGGGAGCAAA
rnacentral:rRNA from 1 species